rnacentral:rRNA from 1 species
UACGUAGGGGGCAAGCGUUGUCCGGAAUCAUUGGGCGUAAAGAGCGUGUAGGCGGCCCGGUAAGUCCGCUGUGAAAGUCCAGGGCUCAACCCUGGGAUGCCGGUGGAUACUGUCGGGCUCGAGUCCGGAAGAGGAGUGUGGAAUUCCUGGUGUAGCGGUGAAAUGCGCAGAUAUCAGGAGGAACACCAACGGCGAAGGCAGCUCGCUGGGACGGUACUGACGCUGAGGCGCGAAAGCGUGGGGAGCAAACAGG